GUGAAGGUUGCCACUGCUGACUAUAUCAAGCUAUUCAGACAGCUGUCUCUGGGGCAGGCCUAUCUGAUAGAAACAGGAAUAAAUUGACCUUGAAAUACAUUGAACUUGUUCUGUUUAUGAAAUCUGUAGUCAUUUUUGACAGCUCAGCAAUUAGGAUUUUUUUCCUUGACCGAUUUGGUAGGAUGUGGCUUUCUGAUUUUACAGAUCCGCUGUUGUACCAGGGGUCUAAUCAGGCCUGUGUCUGCCUCCUUCUUGAAUAGCCCAGUGAAUUCAUCUAAACAGCCUUCCUACAGCAACUUCCCACUCCAGGUGGCCAGACGGGAGUUCCAGACCAGUGUUGUCUCCCGGGACAUUGACACAGCAGCCAAGUUUAUUGGUGCUGGGGCAGCCACAGUUGGUGUGGCUGGUUCAGGGGCUGGCAUUGGAACCGUGUUUGGCAGCUUGAUCAUUGGCUAUGCCAGGAACCCAUCUCUCAAGCAGCAGCUCUUCUCCUAUGCCAUUCUCGGCUUUGCCCUGUCUGAGGCCAUGGGGCUCUUCUGUUUGAUGGUUGCCUUCCUCAUCCUCUUCGCCAUGUGAGGCUCCAUGGGGGGUCACCUGCCUGUUGCUGCUGCAACUCCAUACCAUUCUUGGUGCUGGGGUGUGCUAAGCUUUACCAUUAAACACAACGUUUCUCUAAA
rnacentral:sRNA from 1 species